rnacentral:rRNA from 1 species
UAGGGAAUAUUGCAAAAUAGGCGAAAGCCCGAUGCAGCAACGCCGCGUGGGCGAUGAAGGCCUUCGGGUCGUAAAGCCCUUUUUGAGGGGAUGAGGAAGGACAGUACCCUCAGAAUAAGCCUCGGCUAACUACGUGCCAGCAGCCGCGGUAAAACGUAGGAGGCGAGCGUUAUCCGGAUUUACUGGGCGUAAAGCGCGUGCAGGCGGAUUGGAGAGUUGGAUGUGAAAGCUCCCGGCUUAACUGGGAGAGGUCGUUCAAUACUUCCAGUCUUGAGUGCAGUAGAGGGAAGUGGAAUUCCGGGUGUAGUGGUGAAAUGCGUAGAUAUCCGGAGGAACACCAGUGGCGAAAGCGGCUUCCUGGACUGUAACUGACGCUCAGACGCGAAAGCUAGGGUAGCAAACG